GCGGGGGUAGCCAAGUUUGGUCAAAGAUACCUGCUCAAGCAGGUAUUGAAGGCGCAGGAAUGAGGAUCCUGUCCCGAAGGGGUUCAGGGGUUCAAAUCCCCUCCCCCGCA
rnacentral:tRNA from 1 species